rnacentral:rRNA from 1 species
AUUGAACGCUGGCGGCAUGCCUAACACAUGCAAGUCGAACGACAGCACGGCAGUAGCAAUACUGUGGGUGGCGAGUGGCGGACGGGUGAGGAAUACGUCGGAAUCUGCCCAGUCGUGGGGGAUAACUAGCCGAAAGGUUAGCUAAUACCGCAUACGACCGAGAGGUGAAAGCGGGGGACCGCAAGGCCUCGCGCGAUUGGAUGAGCCGACGUCGGAUUAGCUAGUUGGUGGGGUAAAGGCCCACCAAGGCGACGAUCCGUAGCUGGUCUGAGAGGAUGAUCAGCCACACUGGAACUGAGACACGGUCCAGACUCCUACGGGAGGCAGCAGUGGGGAAUAUUGGACAAUGGGCGCAAGCCUGAUCCAGCAAUGCCGCGUGUGUGAAGAAGGCCUCGGGUUGUAA